rnacentral:rRNA from 1 species
CACAUGCAAGUCGAGGGGAAACGACAUCGAAAGUUUGCUUUUGAUGGGCGUCGACCGGCGCACGGGUGAGUAACGCGUAUCCAACCUGCCCACCACUUGGGGAUAACCUUGCGAAAGUAAGACUAAUACCCAAUGAUAUCUCUAGAAGACAUCUGAAAGAGAUUAAAGAUUUACCGGUGAUGGAUGGGGAUGCGUCUGAUUAGCUUGUUGGCGGGGUAACGGCCCACCAAGGCAACGAUCAGUAGGGGCUCUGAGAGGAAGGUCCCCCACAUUGGAACUGAGACACGGUCCAAACUCCUACGGGAGGCAGCAGUGAGGAAUAUUGGUCAAUGGACGAGAGUCUGAACCAGCCAAGUAGCGUGCAGGAUGACGGCCCUAUGGGUUGUAAACUGCUUUUAUAAGGGAAUAAAGUGAGUCUCGUGAGACUUUUUGCAUGUACCUUAUGAAUAAGGACCGGCUAAUUCCGUGCCAGCAGCCGCGGUAAUACGGAAGGUCCGGGCGUUAUCCGGAUUUAUUGGGUUUAAAGGGAGCGUAGGCCGGAGAUUAAGCGUGUUGUGAAAUGUAGAUGCUCAACAUCUGCACUGCAGCGCGAACUGGUUUCCUUGAGUACGCACAAAGUGGGCGGAAUUCGUGGUGUAGCGGUGAAAUGCUUAGAUAUCACGAAGAACUCCGAUUGCG